CCCACACGCAGCCCGGGUGUGCACGCUGGCUCCAAGCCCACUCCUAGCACGUCCCCACCCUGCCACUUGUGCCCUGCGAUGCCCACUGCCAGCAGUGCUCUUCCCCGUCUUGCUCUUCGUAGGAACACUUCUUACCUGGUUCAGACACCUCCUCCACGAAGCCUUCCUGCCCCUCCCCCCUCCGCGUCUUGGCCUGGGACAUUGCUUCCUACACAUUGGAAGCGCUGUUGUCUGCUAGCCAUUAAGGCCGCGUGCACUAUCUCAUGUCUGAGGAUCUGGGCUGGGGUUUCAGUCAUGUUCCAAUCAGACCUCUGCCGCCAACUAGCUGUGAGCAAGAGGUUUUGCUUCCCUAGGCCUCAGUCUCCCCUUCUGAGAAAUGGGGUGGGCAACAGGAUCUCUCUGUGAGGGCUGAGAUUAUCAGCUGUUAUUGCUGUAUCAUGUGGCCACUGCUGUACAGAAAGGAUCCCUCCCUGUGUCAGCCCCCACCAAGGAGUGGUCCUGCCAUUCUGCCUGCAGCUCCAGCACCGAGUCCUGCCUCCACUACAGCCCCGACACCCUGAGCUGGGCCUGUCCCCUUGCAGGAUGGGACCCAGAGACCCAGAUCUGGAAUUGGACCUGACCAGGGGGAGGCCAGAGCAUUCAAUGAGCUGUGUUGCCAUGAGUCCCAAGCACAGAGAGCAGCAGCAGGUAGACCUGUCUGCACUGGGCCUGGUUCCUGGUCUUCAGCGCCCACUGCCUCGUGGAGGAAGGAGCCACCUGCCUGGUCAUCGGCAGAAACACACCCUCUAUGCAUCUGUCACCUUCUCGGCUGCACACAACGUAGCUAACAGGAAACCGCUACGAUCUGUUCGGGACGAUGGGACUGAAAAUACAGCCUGAGAGAAAUAUGGGAUGACCGUGGCCUCUGUUGACAAAUGGAGACCUGGAGGCCCAGAGCGGUUAAGUCACUGGUUGGAGGUCCCAUGGCUACUAAGGGAUGCCGCCAGGAUUUGAACUCAGGAGGCCUGCCCUCCCCCAUGUGGAUUUCCUCCCACAACAGUCCCUGUGGAAAUGACUCUGGUUCUACUCAUGCCCUGCUCCAGAGCCCCCCGACCCUCCUCGGGACUCCAAUUCCUUGGCUAGACCGGGAGCCCCUUGAGGAAAGGACCCAAGUCUGCUCUGUGUCCCUGUGCCCACCACUCCCAGCACAGAGCUGGCUCCAGGACCAGUAAGGCUCAGAGCGGGGAAGGGACUGGCUUCAGAUCACACAGCAAGUCCCAGGCAAGCCUGUCUGGCUGUGGGGUCCUGAGACCGCACUUCCAAGGAAGUACUCAGGACUAAGCAGGUCCCACCACCCCUGACCCCAGGAAAGCCUCCUGCGGGUACCUCCUCAAGCCCUGGGCCACUCCAGCCCCUGCGCCCGCCCUCUCACCUCCG